GAUGAAGAACGUAGCGAAAUGCGAUAAGUAAUGUGAAUUGCAGAAUUCAGUGAAUCAUCGAAUCUUUGAACGCACAUUGCGCCCCUUGGUAUUCCGAGGGGCAUGCCUGUUCGAGCGUCAUUUCAACCCUCAAGCACAGCUUGGUCUUGGGCUUCGCCGCUAACCCGGCGGGUCUUAAAAUCAGUGGCGGUGCCGUCGGGCCCUGAGCGCAGUAAUCUCUCUCGCUAUAGGUUCCCGGCGGAUGCUGGCCAGUAACCCCCAAUUUUCUAUGGUUGACCUCGGAUCAGGUAGGGAUACCCGCUGAACUUAAGCAUAUCAAUAAGCGGAGGA
rnacentral:misc_RNA from 1 species